UACGUAGGGAGCAAGCGUUGUCCGGAUUUAUUGGGCGUAAAGGGCUCGUAGGCGGUUUGUCGCGUCGGGAGUGAAAACCAUGGGCUUAACUCAUGGCUUGCUUUCGAUACGGGCAGACUAGAGGUAUGCAGGGGAGAACGGAAUUCCUGGUGUAGCGGUGAAAUGCGCAGAUAUCAGGAGGAACACCGGUGGCGAAGGCGGUUCUCUGGGCAUGAUCUGACGCUGAGGAGCGAAAGUGUGGGGAGCGAACAGG
rnacentral:rRNA from 1 species